rnacentral:rRNA from 1 species
GUUAAUAUUCCUGUACUUGGUGUUACUGCGAAGGGGGGACGGAGAAGGCUAGGCUAUCCGGGCGACGGUUGUCCCGGUUCAAGCGUGUAGGUGGGUGGUCCUGGUAAAUCCGGACCGCUGUUAACACUGAGGCGUGAUGACGAGGCUCUACGGAGCUGAAGUAGUUGAUGCCCUGCUUCCAGGAAAAGCCUCUAAGCUCCAGGUAACACGAAAUCGUACCCCAAACCGACACAGGUGGUCAGGUAGAGAAUACUCAGGCGCUUGAGAGAACUCGGGUGAAGGAACUAGGCAAAAUGGUGCCGUAACUUCGGGAGAAGGCACGCCGGCAGUAGGUGAAGUGAUUUACUCAUGGAGCCGAAGCCGGUCGAAGAUACCAGCUGGCUGCAACUGUUUAAUAAAAACACAGCACUGUGCAAACACGAAAGUGGACGUAUACGGUGUGACGCCUGCCCGGUGCUGGAAGGUUAAUUGAUGGGGUUAUCCGUAAGGAGAAGCUCUUGAUCGAAGCCCCAGUAAACGGCGGCCGUAACUAUAACGGUCCUAAGGUAGCGAAAUUCCUUGUCGGGUAAGUUCCGACCUGCACGAAUGGCGUAAUGAUGGCCAGGCUGUCUCCACCCGAGACUCAGUGAAAUUGAACUCGCUGUGAAGAUGCAGUGUACCCGCGGCAAGACGGAAAGACCCCGUGAACCUUUACUAUAGCUUGACACUGAACAUUGAGCCUUGAUGUGUAGGAUAGGUGGGAGGCUUUGAAGCGUGGACGCCAGUCUGCGUGGAGCCGGCCUUGAAAUACCACCCUUUAAUGUUUGAUGUUCUAACGUAGACCCGUGAUCCGGGUUGCGGACAGUGUCUGGUGGGUAGUUUGACUGGGGCGGUCUCCUCCCAAAGCGUAACGGAGGAGCACGAAGGUUAGCUAAUCCUGGUCG